AAGUCGUAACAAGGUUUCCGUAGGUGAACCUGCGGAAGGAUCAUUAACAGUUUAUGUUUGUGUCUGUUGUUGUGAUGUGUGUGAUCUGUGACAAUUGCCAUUUGGUUGGCAAUGUUAUCUUUUUUUACCAUGUUUUUUAUUACUUGUCUUAUACCAUACCAUAUACAAUUAUCGAAAACUGCCAGCAAUGGAUCACUCGGUUCUU
rnacentral:misc_RNA from 1 species